AUUCAUCUGAUGAGUUCCAAAUGGGACGAAACGUCCGUCAAACUGGAU
rfam:Schistosoma curassoni strain Dakar, Senegal genome assembly, scaffold: SCTD_scaffold0001253